UCCUACGGGUGGCUGCAGUGGGGAAUAUUGCACAAUGGGGGAAACCCUGAUGCAGCGACGCCGCGUGAAGGAAGAAGUAUUUCGGUAUGUAAACUUCUAUCAGCAGGGAAGAAAAUGACGGUACCUGACUAAGAAGCCCCGGCUAACUACGUGCCAGCAGCCGCGGUAAUACGUAGGGGGCAAGCGUUAUCCGGAUUUACUGGGUGUAAAGGGAGCGUAGGCGGUUCAGCAAGUCAGAAGUGAAAGCCCGGGGCUCAACUCCGGGACUGCUUUUGAAACUGUUGAACUAGAUUGCAGGAGAGGUAAGUGGAAUUCCUAGUGUAGCGGUGAAAUGCGUAGAUAUUAGGAGGAACACCAGUGGCGAAGGCGGCUUACUGGACUGUAACUGACGCUGAGGCUCGAAAGCGUGGGGAGCAAACAGGAUUAGAUACCCGGGUAGUC
rnacentral:rRNA from 1 species